rnacentral:rRNA from 1 species
UACGGAGGGGGCUAGCGUUGUUCGGAAUUACUGGGCGUAAAGCGCACGUAGGCGGAUUUGUAAGUCAGGGGUGAAAUCCCGGGGCUCAACCUCGGAACUGCCUUUUGAUACUGCAAAUCUCGAGUCCGAUAGAGGUGGGUGGAAUUCCUAGUGUAGAGGUGAAAUUCGUAGAUAUUAGGAAGAACACCGGUGGCGAAGGCGGCCCACUGGAUCGGUACUGACGCUGAGGUGCGAAAGCGUGGGGAGCAAACAGG